rnacentral:rRNA from 1 species
UACGGAGGGAGCUAGCGUUAUUCGGAAUUACUGGGCGUAAAGCGUACGUAGGCGGCUUUGCAAGUUAGAGGUGAAAGCCUGGAGCUCAACUCCAGAACUGCCUUUAAAACUGCAUCGCUUGAAUCCAGGAGAGGUGAGUGGAAUUCCGAGUGUAGAGGUGAAAUUCGUAGAUAUUCGGAAGAACACCAGUGGCGAAGGCGGCUCACUGGACUGGUAGUGACGCUGAGGUACGAAAGCGUGGGGAGCAAACAGG